rnacentral:ncRNA from 1 species
AGGUCGAGAGUGCUGCCUAUAAGCGGUGCGCAGAACGAAUGGUUCUCUCGGCUC